rnacentral:rRNA from 1 species
UACGGAGGGGGCAAGCGUUAUUCGGAAUCAUUGGGCGUAAAGGGCGCGUAGGCGGCCUGGCAAGUCAAAGGUGAAAUCCCUCGGCCCAACCGAGGAACUGCCUUUGAAACUGCAAGCUUGAGGCCGGGAGAGGGUAGCGGAAUUCCCAGUGUAGCGGUGAAAUGCGUAGAUAUUGGGAGGAACACCAGUGGCGAAGGCGGCUACCUGGACCGGUUCUGACGCUGAGGCGCGAAAGCGUGGGGAGCAAACAGG